GAUGAACGCUAGCGGCAGGCCUAAUACAUGCAAGUCGAGGGGCAGCAGGAAUAGCAAUAUUUGCUGGCGACCGGCGCACGGGUGCGUAACACGUAUACAAUCUGCCUUCUACAGGGGGAUAGCCUUUCGAAAGAGAGAUUAAUACCCCAUAAUAAAUUGAAUAGCAUUAUUUGAUUUUGAAAGAUCCGUCGGUAGAAGAUGAGUAUGCGGGUGAUUAGCUAGUUGGUGAAGUAACGGCUCACCAAGGCAACGAUCACUAGGGGAUCUGAGAGGACUACCCCCCACACUGGUACUGAGACACGGACCAGACUCCUACGGGAGGCAGCAGUAAGGAAUAUUGGACAAUGGAGGCAACUCUGAUCCAGCCAUGCCGCGUGCAGGAUGAAGGCCCUAUGGGUCGUAAACUGCUUUUGUACGAGAGAAAACCUAUUUACGUGUAGAUAGUUGAUAGUAUCGUAAGAAUAAGGAUCGGCUAACUUCGUGCCAGCAGCCGCCGUAACAC
rnacentral:rRNA from 1 species